rnacentral:rRNA from 1 species
GACAGAGGGUGCAAACGUUGCUCGGAAUUACUGGGCGUAAAGCGCGUGUAGGCGGGUCGGUAUGUCGGACGUGAAAUCCCUAGGCUCAACCUAGGAACUGCGCUCGAAACUGCCGAUCUUGAGUGGUGGAGAGGGAAGUGGAAUUCCUGGUGUAGAGGUGAAAUUCGUAGAUAUCAGGAGGAACACCAGUGGCGAAGGCGGCUUCCUGGACACCAACUGACGCUGAGACGCGAAAGCGUGGGGAGCAAACAGG